rnacentral:lncRNA from 13 species
CUUAGCAUCUGAGACUGAGCACAGACCCACCCACUCUCAGCAAUGCUCCCCAUAGGAACAAGGCCAUCACCCCCAUGAACCCUGAGAACACUGAUGGAAAUGUGGAAGAGCACAGAUAUGAACUUCUGCUGGUUUUCCUAAGAUUGGGAAUAUCUCAGAGCCUGUUUCUCCUUGAAGUUCUCUAGGGUUCAACUGGUCUGAAAGAUUUUUAGGA